GGGUGUCACCGCAAAACGCGGCAAGGCAGGUUUAACUUAGCGCAGGUCGGGCCGCCGCG
rfam:Pseudomonas syringae strain GAW0119 contig23.1, whole genome shotgun sequence.